rnacentral:rRNA from 1 species
GUCUAUGGCCACGCCACCCUGAACAAGCCGGAUCCCAGCUGAUCUGGGAAGCUAAGCAGGGUCGGGCCUGGUUAGUACUUGGAUGAGAGACCACCUAGAAAGACCAGGUGCUGUAGACG